UAAAACGUAGGUGGCGAGCGUUAUCCGGAUUUACUGGGCGUAAAGGGGGUGUAGGCGGCUUUUCAAGUCGGAUGUGAAAUCUCCCUGCUUAACGGGGAGGGGUCAUUCGAUACUGUUAAGCUUGAGGACAGCAGAGGGAGGUGGAAUUCCCGGUGUAGUGGUGAAAUGCGUAGAUAUCGGGAGGAACACCAGUGGCGAAGGCGGCCUCCUGGGCUGUUCCUGACGCUGAGGCCCGAAAGCGCGGGGAGCGAACAGGAUUAGAUACCCUGGUAGUCCGCGCAGUAAACGAUGGACACUAGGUAUAGUGAGUAUCGACCCUCUCUGUGCCGAAGCUAACGCGUUAAGUGUCCCGCCUGGGGAGUACGGCCGCAAGGCUA
rnacentral:rRNA from 1 species